GACGAACGCUGGCGGCGUGCUUAACACAUGCAAGUCGAACGGAAAGGCCCUGCUUUUGUGGGGUGCUCGAGUGGCGAACGGGUGAGUAACACGUGAGUAACCUGCCCUUGACUUUGGGAUAACUUCAGGAAACUGGGGCUAAUACCGGAUAGGAGCUCCUGCUGCAUGGUGGGGGUUGGAAAGUUUCGGCGGUUGGGGAUGGACUCGCGGCUUAUCAGCUUGUUGGUGGGGUAGUGGCUUACCAAGGCUUUGACGGGUAGCCGGCCUGAGAGGGUGACCGGCCACAUUGGGACUGAGAUACGGCCCAGACUCCUACGGGAGGCAGCAGUGGGGAAUAUUGCACAAUGGGCGGAAGCCUGAUGCAGCAACGCCGCGUGCGGGAUGACGGCCUUCGGGUUGUAAACCGCUUUCGCCUGUGACGAAGCGUGAGUGACGGUAAUGGGUAAAGAAGCACCGGCUAACUACGUGCCAGCAGCCGCGGUGAUACGUAGGGUGCGAGCGUUGUCCGGAUUUAUUGGGCGUAAAGGGCUCGUAGGUGGUUGAUCGCGUCGGAAGUGUAAUCUUGGGGCUUAACCCUGAGCGUGCUUUCGAUACGGGUUGACUUGAGGAAGGUAGGGGAGAAUGGAAUUCCUGGUGGAGCGGUGGAAUGCGCAGAUAUCAGGAGGAACACCAGUGGCGAAGGCGGUUCUCUGGGCCUUUCCUGACGCUGAGGAGCGAAAGCGUGGGGAGCGAACAGGCUUAGAUACCCUGGUAGUCCACGCUGUAAACGGUGGGUACUAGGUGUGGGGUCCAUUCCACGGGUUCCGUGCCGUAGCUAACGCUUUAAGUACCCCGCCUGGGGAGUAUGGCCGCAAGGCUAAAACUCAAAGGAAUUGACGGGGCCCCGCACAAGCGGCGGAGCAUGCGGAUUAAUUCGAUGCAACGCGUAGAACCUUACCUGGGUUUGACAUGGAUCGGGAGCGCUCAGAGAUGGGUGUGCCUCUUUUGGGGUCGGUUCACAGGUGGUGCAUGGCUGUCGUCAGCUCGUGUCGUGAGAUGUUGGGUUAAGUCCCGCAACGAGCGCAACCCUUGUUCACUGUUGCCAGCACGUUAUGGUGGGGACUCAGUGGAGACCGCCGGGGUCAACUCGGAGGAAGGUGGGGAUGGCGUCAAGUCAUCAUGCCCCUUAUGUCCAGGGCUUCACGCAUGCUACAAUGGCUGGUACAGAGAGUGGCGAGCCUGUGAGGGUGAGCGAAUCUCGGAAAGCCGGUCUCAGUUCGGAUUGGGGUCUGCAACUCGACCUCAUGAAGUCGGAGUCGCUAGUAAUCGCAGAUCAGCAACGCUGCGGUGAAUACGUUCCCGGG
rnacentral:rRNA from 1 species